UAUUGGGCGUAAGAGCUCGUAGGUGGUUGGUCACGUCUGCUGUGGAAACGCAACGCUUAACGUUGCGCGUGCAGUGGGUACGGGCUGACUAGAGUGCAGUAGGGGAGUCUGGAAUUCCUGGUGUAGCGGUGAAAUGCGCAGAUAUCAGGAGGAACACCGGUGGCGAAGGCGGGACUCUGGGCUGUAACUGACACUGAGGAGCGAAAGCAUGGGGAGCGAACAGGAUUAGAUACCCUGGUAGUCCAUGCCGUAAACGUUGGGCACUAGGUGUGGGGGACAUUCCACGUUCUCCGCGCCGUAGCUAACGCAUUAAGUGCCCCGCCUGGGGAGUACGGUCGCAAGGCUAAAACUCAAAGGAAUUGACGGGGGCCCGCACAAGCGGCGGAGCAUGCGGAUUAAUUCGAUGCAACGCGAAGAACCUUACCAAGGCUUGACAUACACCAGACCGGCUUGGAAACAGGUCUUCCCCUUUGGGGUUGGUGUACAGGUGGUGCAUGGUUGUCGUCAGCUCGUGUCGUGAGAUGUUGGGUUAGUCCCGCAACGAGCGCAACCCUCGUUCUAUGUUGCCAGCACGUGAUGGUGGGAACUCAUAGGAGACUGCCGGGGUCAACUCGGAGGAAGGUGGGGAUGACGUCAAAUCAUCAUGCCCUUUAUGUCUUGGGCUUCACGCAUGCUACAAUGGCUGGUACAAAGAGAAGCGAACCCGUGAGGGUCAGCGAAUCCCUUAAAGCCAGUCUCAGUUCGGAUCGUAGUCUGCAAUUCGACUACGUGAAGUC
rnacentral:rRNA from 1 species